rnacentral:rRNA from 1 species
GACGAACGCUGGCGGCGUGCCUAAUACAUGCAAGUCGAACGGUCUUUUCUAUGGAAGCUUGCUUCCGCUGAGAAGAUAGUGGCAAACGGGUGAGUAACACGUGGGUAACCUGCCAAUAAGAGGGGGAUAACAUCCGAAAACGGGUGCUAAUACCGCAUAGUUUUCUUGAUCGCAUGAUUGAGAAAGGAAAGACGGCCUUUGUGCUGUCGCUUAUGGAUGGAACCGCGGCGUAUUAGUUAGUUGGUGAGGUAACGGCUCAACAAGACGAUGAUACGUAGCCGACCUGAGAGGGUGAUCGGCCACAUUGGGACUGAGACACGGCCCAAACUCCUACGGGAGGCAGCAGUAGGGAAUCUUCCGCAAUGGACGAAAGUCUGACGGAGCAACGCCGCGUGAGUGAAGAAGGUUUUCGGAUCGUAAAACUCUGUUGUCAGAGAAGAACAAGUCGGAGAGUAACUGCUCCGGCCUUGACGGUAUCUGACCAGAAAGCCACGGCUAACUACGUGCCAGCCGCCGCAGUAAUAC